rnacentral:misc_RNA from 1 species
GCGUUAUCGAGCGCGAUACGGACGAUCGUUUAACAUUAUUCUUGUUCGAAUGAGAAGGAACACGGCGAAGGCACUACGCUCAUACAUAAAUUCUUGAUCGACUUCUUAUCCCAGAUCCGUUACGAGUGGAGCGAACGAGUGAAAAAUAUAUCUGCAGCGGAGGGAAAUUUAAUUGUGUAUCGUGGGAGGAGAUCACGGUUUUGGAACGGUUCCUCUUUGCAGCGGGCAGUAUAUUAUUCAACGAGACGGCAGCGUUUGAUGGCAAAGAACGCAGGUCUACCUUGUUCACUUAUUUAAAGGAGCUACGAAACGCUGCGCGCCAUGGACGAACAAGAUUCCUCCCUGACGUAUUUCGUUCAGCAACUACUUACAAAACCGCUAGACACUUUUAUACGUGGAAACGAGGUUAUUUAUCAAACGAAUGUUCAACUUUUUCGCAUCGACCAACGAGCUAACGAUCCGCUCCAGGCGCUAAACUUUUCGCCCUGGUUUGAAAA